rnacentral:rRNA from 1 species
UACGGAGGGAGCUAGCGUUGUUCGGAAUUACUGGGCGUAAAGCGCACGUAGGCGGCUUUGUAAGUUAGAGGUGAAAGCCCGGGGCUCAACCCCGGAAUUGCCUUUAAGACUGCAUCGCUUGAAUCCGGGAGAGGUGAGUGGAAUUCCGAGUGUAGAGGUGAAAUUCGUAGAUAUUCGGAAGAACACCAGUGGCGAAGGCGGCUCACUGGACCGGUAUUGGCGCUGAGGGGCGAAAGCGUGGGGAGCAGACAGG